rnacentral:rRNA from 1 species
CUGGGCUUGACAUACACCAGAUCGGUGCAGAGAUGUAGUUUCCCUUGUGGGUGGUGUACCGGUGGUGCAUGGUUGUUGUCAGCUUGUGUUGUGAGAUGGUGGGUUAAGUCCCGCAACGAGCGCAACCCUUUUUUUAUGUUGCCAGCCUUUUAGUUGGGGACUCAUGAGAGACUGCCGGGGUUAACUCGGAGGAAGGUGGGGAUGACGUCAAAUCAUCAUGCCCCUUAUGUCCAGGGCUUCACACAUGCUACAAUGGUCGGUACAACGCGCAGCGACACUGUGAGGUGGAGCGAAUCGCUGAAAGCCGGUCUUAGUUCGGAUUGGGGUCUGCAACUCGACCCCAUGAAGUCGGAGUCGCUAGUAAUCGUAGAUCAGCAAAUGCGGCCACUUUC